rnacentral:lncRNA from 1 species
UUGGCACUAGAAUUGGGGCUUGGUUGCUCUAAUGCCAGAACUCCAUGCUCACACUCUGCUUUUUGUGCCAAAGUUAGAUGCUCAGAUUUGAAAGCUAAAAUUUAUCAAGUUUUAGCACUGCCUCUCCACAGCCAAAUGAUAAUGGCAUAAAAAAGGUACAUUUUUUUUACUUCAGUUUAAAAGUAGAACUGCCACAUUAAGAUAAAUUCACUCUCCUCAAACAAUUCAGGUAUGAAACAUUUCCCUGUCAAUGAACUCAUCUUAAAGUGGCUAGAGAGCUUUUUCUGAUUCUGUUGUACACUGGGUCGGGUGGCCUGGUGCCAAUUUCCUCUGGCAUUUAGCUUUAGAUAAAUAUUUAUUUUCUCUGUCCUGGACACUAAUCAUAUCCUUUGAUAUUAAGAACUGCUUUAACAUGAAUAGUAAUUUAAAGACAUUAAGGUGGCCAUAUUUGAUGAAAUAGUCUCUAGACAGUUUUUUAAAAUGUGAUCCCAUUGUAAGCCACAACCUCACUAUUCUGGUUUAUCCUGAGGCCACACAAUUAUUUUUCAUGUUAUGAUACUGAAGCUCCUAUGCAUCCUUUUCUGGCUAUAUCAUGCCCAUAAUAUAAAAAGCUAUAGAAACAUCGGGAAUUCUCUAUAAUAAGAAAUGCUUAUUAAGUGCUCACAGGUUAUAUCCCUGAAGUCCUAAACUCUGUGUCAGCACUUCUUAUUUCCUGGUUGCACCACAGAACCAUCUAAGGAACAAUGUAAAAAUUAUCUUUGCCCUGGCACUACCCCAGACCAAUUGAAUCAGAAUCUCCCAAAGUAGGGCUUAGACAUCAAUGCUUUUAAAGCUCCCCUGUUGAUUCAAAUGUGCAGCUAGAGUUGAGAAAACUCUUCUGUGUAAAGGGAUAGUCUACAUCUUUGUGGAAGCAAAUCAAGAAUGUAAUGAGAAAGUACAACCAAAUAAAGAAAUCCUAAAUCAGUGAUCCUAAUACACACAUACAUUAACUUGCUAAUUUUCAGCAAGGCAAGAAUUAAGGAUGCUCUAAAGAGUCACCAGAUUUUUCCUGUUUUUACUUUAUUUUGCAUUUCCUUUAUGCAUCUCUCUUUUCUUUUUUUUUUUUGGAGGAGUUAUUAUUGUGGCUCAGUGAGUUAAGGACCUGACAUGGUGUCCAUGAGGUAUGGGUUCGAUUCCUAGUGUCGCUCAGUGGUUUAAUGAUCUGGUGUUGAUGCAAGCUGCAGCAUAGGUCAUAGAUACAGCUUGAAACUGGUAUUGCUGUGGCUGUGGCGUAGGCCUGUAGCUGCAGCACUGGGUAACCCCUAGCCCGGAAACUUCCAUAUGCCACAGGUGAGGCCAAAAAAGGAAAAAGAACAGUGGAGUUGCUUGCUUGUGGAAAGAGAAUGUGUGUGAGUGUUGUCAUAUAUACCGUACAGAGUGAAUUUGCUACUGAAAAAUGGAAUAUAAAAUGCCUUUUCUGUCUGUUGUGCAAACAAGGGAAAAUGGGAAACAGCACUCACUUGAUGCCUCCUAGAGAAACAUUUAUGGCAAAACUUGGAGCAACAGCUCUGUGUGGGCUUGGUGGCCCAUUCUAGGAUAGUGCUCUGAGGUCUGACCCAGUCAUUUCAGACUCUGAAGAAGUGGCCUGCUCUUGAGUUGUAGGAGUGUUAGGCUGCAGAGUUAGGGAGGUUCAGACCUCUUUCUGGUAUGAUUAGGGCUAUGACACAAGAGGAAUCGGACAUGGUGGAAGCCUGGCUCUAACUCUGUCCUGGCAGCCCAGUGUUAGCGGGUUUGGGUUUGGUAUCACUUAACAUGAGAGGCCCGUCCUUAUGGGUACAAUUAUGUGAACUGGCAAGCUGGUGGCAGUGUUUGCUCUGUCAGCAUUCAUGAUCAGAGGAAUCCUAAGCCCUCCUCUCGUGUCAUAGGGCCUACAAUCCUUGACUGGCCAAGACUGAUCAUGUUAAAACCAGGGCCACUGCCAGUUUUGCCCAGGACUUUACUAUAGGCCAAUUCGUUUCCCAAGAGGCUAAUCAGGAAGAGGUCAAUUUUUAAAAAGUUAACGCUAACCAUCACCCAGUCUAUUUCUCUCAUUCACAGGACAGAAUGGCACUUCUUGAGUGAACAGCCUAUCCCAUGGAGUUUGUAAGCACUCUCAGGCUUAUCAUUAGCAUCCCAAGAGACUCUAGGAACUGACUGUAAAUGGCUGAGUAUCACCCUGGUAAUGCACAUCACACACACUUGAGCCUGAAAGAAAGGGGCGAUUUUUAAGAAAAGCCUAUAAACACGCAUGGUCUAGUCUAGAAUGUAUUGUGACCUUCGAGGUGAGUCAGUAUCUACAGCCAUAGUCCAAGUGUCCCCAAGGGCCCCAAAUCCUUUUGGAGAAAGAGAGCGCUAUCCCCAUGCUGCUUUCUCAGUUCCAGUUACUGUUACUAUACCUCCACCUGAGAGGCAUUAAAUUAAAACAUGUGAACUCAGUAAAAUAACAUUAGCCAGUAUUUACUGAGUACUUAAUAUGAAUUAGGAACCAUUUUAAGUAUUUUUAUUUAAUGACUCAUUACAUUAUUCUUUGCAAGAAAUUUGUAAAAGAGUUAUUAUUAUUAUCUUAUUUUUAGGGAAGAUUGAGUCAUUAAGAGGUAAAGUCACUAGCCAAAGAUGAUGAGGCAAAUAGGUGACAGAACUUGAUUUCAGACGAUACACUGUGGAUUCAGAUCUGGCAUCACCGCUUGUCAAGGCAUGAGUGAAGUAUGUUUUUUGAAAAAUGAAUUUUUAAGGAGUUUGAAUAAGAGUGAGAAGACUAGUUAAGAUGGCAUCUCAGUAGUCAAUGUGACUUAGACGAGGUUAUGUCACUGCAACAGGAAGCAUGUAGACAGGAUUCAAGAGGUGCUUGGGAAAUUGGAAUCAGCAAGACUUGGUGAUGGAGUAUUGGUGGCAGGUAAGCAAGAGAUAUGUAUCAAUCACUGUUCUCAGCUUCCUAUCUGGUGAAAUGAGAUAGGGGGCACUGGAGAUAAAGGAAGUUGUGUCUGGAAGAUCAUGAAUUGUGUUUUGGAUGUGAUAAAUUUGAGAGAACCAUGAUAUUUCAAAUGGAAUAAUCAAGCAGGUUGUCGUGUGCAUUCUUUACAUUUCCUCUCAACAUCAUGAUCAAAAAAGUUGCUUUGGCUGGAGUUUUGAAUUGAGUGUGUCACAGUGAAGCUAUGGAGGGCUAAUAAAUUAUAGAAAAGGAAAAUCAAGCAAAGGGAUUCCGAAAGCAUCCUAUGCAAUUUGUCAUUUAGAACCCUGGCAAUGGAAGGGCAACUCACACUUCAUAUUGAGAAGAAUGGUCUAGAGAAGACACAAAAUGAUAGAAUUAUGGAAUCUCAGGUGUAAAUGAGAUAGAAGAAAGGCAGACUAUAUUAGCAGUAGUAGAGAUAAAUGAAAAAACAAACAGUAAAACUUGAUGAUUGCCAAUGUUGUAGGUAGGCAUCAAGGGAGGAUUCAAAGAUACACGUAUGGUUUUAUAAUAUGGAUACUGUAGAAAACAAUACUGAAGUAAAAUUUUGUUAAUCAGGGAAUGGGAAUUCAUUUUGACCUAAUUUCUAGGCAUCAUUUAUUUUUAUUUAUUUUGUAGAAAAAAAGUCAGUUACUACUGGUAAAAAAGUGAAUAUGAUAAGACACGUGGGAGGAAUUCCUGGUGGCCUAGCAGUUAAAGAUUCGUCAUUGUCACUGCUAUGGCUUGGGUUCGAUCCUGAGCCUGGGAAUUUCUGCACCCAUGGGUAUGGUCAAAAAAAGAAGGAUGGAAAUACUAAUUUUGAACAGCUAAACAUAUAUCAAUGAUCUGAUAACUUUUAUAAACUUAAAACUAAAAUCAGGAAAAUGAAUAUUCUAUUUAAAUAUUUAGAAGCAUGUCAGUAAUGUUGGCUUGUGCAGACCUUUUCAUAGGAAAUAAGCUAUUAAGUUAUCUUAAGCAACAACCAGAAUUAAGAGUGUUACUUCAGAUGUUUUCCUAGAACCUCAAAACACAUUCCCAAGUACCCAUGGGUCAUCUAAAUAGAUACUGAUUUAUUCUUUGUCAAAUAUUUAAUAUUCAGUUUUCACAUGACAGUACUUUUUUCCUAAUGCCAUUCUACUUGUGCAUCAAUACUGUUAAUAUUGUUAUCAGAUUAUCAUUAAAAUAGUUAUAUAAUACAUAUUAUGGGAAAAAUUGAUUACUACAAGAUCUAGAUAAAUAGAAAUGGAUACAGAUAGAGAAUGUCUACACACAGAUAUUAUCCAAUGUUCGGUAUUUAUAAGACAACAAACUGAGAAUGUGAAAAUGUGUGUUCUAAGGUCUAGACUCUGAACUCCAUGUCCCUUAUGGGAAAAAACAAAAACAGAAACACUUUUCUUUAUUUUCUGUUCCUGCACAAAUUUUAUACUUUUUAUACUUUAGAUGCUCAAAAGUUCUCUCAAAUAUAUAUCCCUACAUGUAAAAUAAGUAUUUUUAUACAGUGGAUUUAGUCUAUUUUAAAUCCUCUUUAAAGGUAAAUAGUUGAACCUGAUGUUCUAGAAAUCUUUCUAGGUCUAAUUAAUUUUUUAAAAAAUUUCAGCUCAUAUGUGUGCCUGCAGACAUGCACAGACACAUAUCAGUUUGGCAUUUGUUUUAUUUCUUACUAGUUUUACUUAUUUGUUUAGAUUAAUUUAAUAAUUAUCUACUAGAGUCCCAAAUAGAUUAGUUUGUUUGUUAUAGAAAAUAUAGGCAUACCCUAAGGAUAUUGUGGGUUUAGUUCCAGACAACUGCAAUAAAGCAAAUAUCUCAGUAAAACAAGUCACGCAAAUUUUUAGUUUCUGAGUGUAUAAAAAAGUUAUAUUUAUACUAUAUUGUAGUCUAUUAAGAAUGCAAUAGCAUUAUUUCUGAAAAUGAAAUGUAUAUACCUUAAUUUAAAAAAAUCUUUAUUGCUAUAAAAUGCUAAUCAUCAUCUGAGACUUCAGUGAGUCAUAAUCUCUUUUGCUGGUGGAGUAUCACAGUGAGGCUAUGGCAGGCUAAUAAACUAAGGAAAAAGGAAAAUAGAGGAAAGGGUUUUGGAAAGCAUCCUAUGCAAUUUGUCAUUUAGAACCCAGGCAAUGGCAAGGCAACCCACACUUCAUAUUGAGAAGAAUGGUCUAGAGAAGACACAAAAUGAUACCUAGAAUUCUAGAAUCUCAGGUGUAAAUGAGGUGGAAGAAAGGCAAAGUAUAUUAGUAUUAGUAG